GGCGGCAACAGCGGUAGGGAAACGCCCGGACCCAUUCCGAACCCGGAAGCUAAGCCUACCAGCGCCAAUGAUACUA
rnacentral:rRNA from 2 species